AUGGCUAACAUGAAGCUACUGGCCGUGUUCGCUGUCUUGCAGUUCCUGUCACUCCACCUCCACGUCCAUGGCGUCUCCGCGUCCGCCGUCAGCAGAGCGCACAAGCCCACAAAGCCCGGCGGCAGCGGCAAAUGCCACAUCAGUGGCUUCCUGCACGGCGUAGCCGGCAAAUGCAACAGGGAGCACGGCUCGGACUGCUGCGUGGCCGGCCACCGCUACCCGCAGUUCAAGUGCUCGCCCCCUGUGUCGGCCGAGACGCCGGCGAUCCUGACGUUGAACAGCUUCGCGGCGGGCGAGGACGGCGGCGGCAAGUCCUUCUGUGACAACCGCUUCCAUAAGGACAGCGAGCUGGUGGUGGCUCUAUCCACGGGAUGGCUGCGCCUCGACGGCACGCGCAGGUGCAACAAGAUGAUCCGCAUUAACGGGAACGGGCGGUUUGCGAUGGCCAAGGUCGUCGACGAGUGCGACUCGGUGAACGGCUGCGAAGCGGAGCACAACUUCGAGCCGCCGUGCCCCAACAACGUCGUGGACGGGUCACCGGCAGUGUGGAAGGCGUUGGGGCUCAACGAGGACAUUGGAGAGUUCAAGGUCACUUGGUCUGAUGUGUGA
rnacentral:rRNA from 1 species